AUGAAGAUUCCAAACCUAAAACCAAAUCUCGGAUUGAUAACAAGACAGAAGAACUCAAAGAUUUAGAAGAUGAUCUUAAUGAUAGUUGUUUCCUCGAAGAAUACAGGAGAAAGAGGUUAGCAGAGAUGAAGGAAACAGUGGAAGAUUGAGCUCGGUAAGUUCAGGCAGCAUCUAUGGUGGCCCGGGCAACAUCUAUUUCAAUAUUGAUUGUGUGAAAGUCAUCUACUAAAGCAAGGUUGGUGUAAGAGUUGAUGAUGAGAACAUUGUUCCAAGACCUUCACUAAGUUAUGAUGAUGUCCCUUAAUAGCAAUGUAGUAUUAGGUUAUAUAGUUAGCGAUGAUUAUUUGUAUUUGACAUUUUAGUGCAAUGAAUUAUCUUUCUUA